AUUAUAUAUCACAAAUAUUAUUGGCUUGCUACCACCGCCACUUUCGCCACCAUCGCCACUACUGCCUCACUACCUCAACUGCUACUAGUGCUGCAUGUAUUAUAAUUGUUCUUGUACUAUGACUAUCCUGCAAAUUUUAUUUUUUAGAGUAAUAUUAUUAAUAUUAAAACAAUCAUAAUAUAUCACAAAUAUUAUUGGCUUGCUACCACCGCCACCACCAUCCCACCACCAUCAUCAUCCGCACAAUCUCCUCAUUUUGCCACCACUGCUACUAUGUCAUCUUAUACAGGGCUGUGUGUAGAAUUCAUCAGGGGGCAACCCCCUGCCCCCCCCCCCUCUGUGUACGGCCCUGAUCUUAUUAUAUACAAUGUACCACUGCAAUGCCCCACUGUUUAUAAUAUUAAUAAAUAUACAUAAAUUUAAAUAUUUAAUAUGUGUUGCUAUAUAAUAUAAAUAUUAAAUAUUAUUAAAACUAUGUUACACAGUGUGGGCGUGUUUGUGUAUGUCCAUUUUAACUAGAAAAAUUAAGCAUGUAUGAUUCCAUGACAAAAAAUUAACAUUUUAACUCACAAAUUAAUGUUUGAAUAAUAUUUUAUCAGAAAUCAAUAUGAUUGGCCGACCACCACGACCACCACAACAUACCCAAGAACCAAUCAGCUACAACCUUUCAAGCAGUGCUGUCUGCAAUUGUGCUGUCUGACUCAAUUGAUUAAUUGAUUUUAGGUGCACAUGUGGGCAUUGUACUGAUUGUAGUGAUACCUGUGCUGUGAAGAGAUUCUUACGUACGAUGGAAAAGACGCUGAAUGUAUUAUACAGCACUGGGACUAUCCUGUUAUUACGCACCGAGCACUCGAACAGUAUAUAACCGCAAAUUAACAAGCAGAACUCAAGACGCGGCCGAAAUGAGUACAGUAAGUCAAAUUAAUUUCACUGAAUUUUGGUCAGUUUUCAUCAGUAUUUUCUAUAUAUUCGCAAUAAUCGCAAAU